AGAUAUGCACGACUCCCCCGUUCUCAUCUCCCCGCUUGUCAAACUCCGGGUCAAGCAACCGUCCCCGCAUUUUCCACUGAAUUCCCCACUCCCAGGCUUAACCGGUGUCCCUGCGGUCGAUCCCCUCCGCGGAUACGCUGGAUUCGAGAUCAGCGCCUUCGUCGAUGAUGGAGGCGGCACGCUAGCCAGGACAACUAACGGCGGCAGCGCGACCUAGGUGGCCGCGUGGUCCAAGCCGUGGGCGCGGCAACUACGCAUCGGCGCCAGCAAGCUCCGAGAAGGCGAGGAGAGGUCUACACGAGGUCCCUUGGCGGAGAACGACGGCGCGUCCACGAGCGAUGCGGGAGCUGAUUUGCAGAAUCACGCUGAUCGGUCAAGAAUCUCUUGCCCGCGCCCGGCGCAAGAAAGAGUGGCGACUCAAAGGGGAAUCCUGUGAUCAACCAGAAAUUGGACAUAACGGCCAGGACUACGACCCUGGCUUCUGCUCUAAGCUCCCACGUUGUAGAGGCCCUGGUGUUUCUGUGGAAGGUCAGCCAUUGCAGGAGCAGGAGUGCAUGGAGACUAUCCAGAAGAGGGAGGAAGCCCGCCGUACGAUGGACAAGGUGGUGCAGACCGCCACACACGACCCAAGUGCAAGGGGAAGUAUUGCGGGGAUGGGCGAUUUUCAAUCAAUGACUGACAAAUCAGUCUAGGGCCUUCUGCAGUCCUCGGUUCAAAGCAACUCCACGGAGACCUGUUAUUUUUCAUGCGCCCUGCCAUCGACGAGAACCCAGAGGAUGCGCAGGAGACCGCCCCGACAACUUCUCUCUCGUCAGCUGCGAGGACUUCCGCGAGUACAUCGAGUCCCAGAUCAUCUACAAUGAUAAGUUGCAUACAGAGACAACAUCACAUGGAGGAAGAAUCAGUUCCCUGCAUUACAUCAUUAUUUUCAGCUGUGGCACACCUGAUAGCUGGGUUGAGAAAAUACCCUGAUUUGUCUACACCCCAUGGAGAAGUUACACAUGUGUUUCCUGCCUAGGAGAACAACCGCGUUGUAGGGAGGCAACCAAAGGACAGAAGUAAAUGUCAAUGUGAAUACUGCGCCACCAGGAUACUUUGGCAGCUGCACCAGACCAUUUAUCUUUGGACCUUGCUGAUAGCAAAUAGAUUAGAAAUAUACUGUUCAUGUACUACUGGAUUUUUCUAACUUAUGGGAACACUUCAGUUACUUUUUCCAUGAUGCAGUACUUGCGGACAAUUCGAUCCCUGUGCUAGCAUGACGAUGCCAAUUACUUCGAUUUAGUUGUGUAUGCUUCCUCAGUUUUGUGUUAUUCGAAGUGAAGUGGUUAAUUCAAAGUUUUCUAUCAGCAGGCAUCCCUAUUAUUUUCUUCUAUAAACUAAGUUCCAGUGCCAUAAAACAUGUGUUAUUGAAAUACCUGCAAUUUGAGCAAGCCACCGCUACCUAGGCAAAGGUGCGGACAUGUGGUCAUCUCUUACAGUUUUCUCAUCCUUCUCUGCAUACCUAUACUACGCACCAAUUUAGGGAUCUAAAAAAAGUGACAUAUGGAGAUCAAUUGACUGUAGUGUGUUGUUAGUCCCCUCAUUACAGAGCAGUAGGACUGAAGAUGUGGUGCUCUGUUCUUGUAUGGUGCCAUAUUUAGUUAUGUACUUUUGUAAGGCUCAUAUGCAUCUGUUUUAGCCUUUGAACAUGGAAGCUGAACUUUUUAAUGAUCAGGCUAGAAGGUCCAAAGCCGAAUAGCAAAACUCCAAUUCUUUUUCAAUUGGUGAACUCCUGGAACGAUUUUCUUACUACUAAUUGAAUUUCCUUGUUGCAUAAAAUUAUUUCUAAAUAAAUAUCAUUAAAAAUACUUUAAAAUGGGUAGCAUCCCUCACAAACUGUCUGACUAUUAGUACUGAAUUCCACUGAUGUCACUUCACUAUUCUUGAUAUUGCUCCAUGUUGGUAGUGAUGUACUGAAUUGUGCACUGUCACUUAUGGUCACAUGAGACAUUAUGGCAUCUAUGUUACUUCAUGGAGUUAUAGGUAAACCGAGUGCCCUCAGCUUAUACACUGGCAAUUAAUUUCUAGAUAAACAAAAGCGAAAUGUUUUUGUGCCUCAAGUCUGCUUAACAUGGAUGCUUAUUUUCAUGGCUCUAUAAAAAUCGUACCCUGGUUUAGAUAUGUUUGGAUGACAUGUACAAUAGUAUAAAUGAGUGUUAAAUGAUACGAGUCCCUUCACAUAUCUUCCGUGGCAAUGGGUUGAAGCACGUAAAGUACGCAAAGCUAUUGUCAAUAGAGCAAGGUCUUCAGGUUAUCGAUAACAUAUUUCAGAAAGCAGUUUAGCUUUGUGCAUCAUCUUACACUGAAUAUGUCUAAUGCUGAUGUGACCAAUAUAGUAAAUGCACUAAUGUAUGUUCCUUUUGUCAUGCUUAAUAUACAUGAGGCACCAUCUGGGUUAUUUUGUGAUGGAGCAAAGAGAUGUAGAUGGAAAACGACUCAGAUACGAGGGAUCUCCUCUCACGUUGGCGGUGGCAGCUAAGGGCAUGCGAUGGCGGGAAGCUGGGCAGGCCUGAGCUCGAUGGCCAACGGCAGCUCUCCCCUCCCCUUCUUCCAUCUGCUCUAUGCUUGCUAUCUAUUGUCCUAUCUCUAUCUCUAUUUGAUUUCUUUGUUGUGGUAGUAGUCUCGUAAGGUUGAUAAAUAACAGUAACAAAGAUGUUCAUGGCAUGCGGCAUCUUUAUUUUCUGUUAUUUUUUGUAUUUAUGUAUGCAAACCUACAUGUUUCUGCAAAUUACGCCCGAGAUUGAAGUAUGCAAUAUAUUAUUGAUUUCUUUAUGAAAUUAGAGAAAGCUACUUGACUUCUCAAAAUAGAUAUAUGGAAUAAUAAUUCUUUAUUGAA